UACAGAGGGUGCAAGCGUUAAUCGGAAUUACUGGGCGUAAAGCGUGCGUAGACGGUUAUGUAAGUCAGAUGUGAAAGCCCCGGGCUCAACCUGGGAAUUGCAUUUGAGACUGCAUAGCUAGGGUGCGGAAGAGGGAAGCGGAAUUUCCGGUGUAGCGGUGAAAUGCGUAGAUAUCGGAAGGAACACCAGUGGCGAAAGCGGCUUCCUGGUCCAGCACCGACGUUCAGGCACGAAAGCUAGGGGAGCAAACAGG
rnacentral:rRNA from 1 species